CAGAGGGUGCGAGCGUUAAUCGGAAUUACUGGGCGUAAAGCGCGCGUAGGCGGCUUUUCAAGUCGGAUGUGAAAUCCCCGGGCUUAACCUGGGAACUGCAUUCGAGACUGUCUAGCUAGAGUAUGGGAGAGGGAAGUGGAAUUUCAGGUGUAGCGGUGAAAUGCGUAGAUAUCUGAAGGAACAUCAGUGGCGAAAGCGACUUCCUGGACCAAUACUGACGCUCAUGUGCGAAAGCGUGGGGAGCAAACAGGAUUAGAUACCCUGGUAGUCCACGCCAUAAACGAUGAGAACUGGAUGUCGGGAGGGUCUGCCUCUCGGUGUCGUAGCUAACGCGUUAAGUUCUCCGCCUGGGGAGUACGGCCGCAAGGUUA
rnacentral:rRNA from 1 species